rnacentral:tRNA from 1 species
GCCCGGGUGGCGAAAUUGGUAGACGCAAGGGACUUAAAAUCCCUCGGGGGAAACCCCGUACCGGUUCGAUUCCGGUCCCGGGCACCA